rnacentral:rRNA from 1 species
UAGAGUUUGAUCAUGGCUCAGGACGACCGUUGGCGGCGUGCUUAACACAUGCAAGUCGAACGAGAAUUGAUCUUUAGUUUACUAGAGAUCAAGGAAAGUGGCGAACGGGUGAGUAACGCGUAGGUAACCAACCUUACACAGGGGGAUAGCCCCGGGAAACUGGGAGUAAUACCGCAUAAGACCACAGCAUCGCAUGGUGCAGUGGUAAAAACCACGGUGGUGUAAGACGGACCUGCGUCCCAUUAGUUAGUUGGUGAGGUAACGGCUCACCAAGACCGCGAUGGGUAGCCGACCUGAGAGGGUGAUCGGCCACAUUGGGACUGAGACACGGCCCAGACUCCUACGGGAGGCAGCAGUGGGGAAUAUUGCGCAAUGGAGGAAACUCUGACGCAGCAACGCCGCGUGAGUGAAGAAGGUUUUCGGAUCGUAAAGCUCUGUCUUUGGGGACGAAUAAAAUGACGGUAUCCAAGGAGGAAGCCCCGGCUAACUACGUGCCAGCAGCCGCGGUAAUA